UACAGAGGUCCCGAGCGUUGUUCGGAUUUAUUGGGCGUAAAGGGUGCGUAGGCGGCGGAGUAAGUUGGGUGUGAAAUCCCGGGGCUUAACCUCGGAAUGGCAUUCAAUACUGCUUCGCUCGAGUACUGGAGAGGAGGCUGGAAUUUACGGUGUAGCAGUGAAAUGCGUAGAUAUCUGGAGGAACACCGGUGGCGAAGGCGGCAUCCUGGACCAACACUGACGCUGAGGAGCGAAAGCCAGGGGAGCAAACGGG
rnacentral:rRNA from 1 species